rnacentral:rRNA from 1 species
CCUGGUUGAUCCUGCCAGUAGUCAUAUGCUUGUCUCAAAGAUUAAGCCAUGCAUGUCUCAGUGCAAGCCAUAUUAAGGUGAAACCGCGAAUGGCUCAUUAAAUCAGUUAUGGUUCCUUAGAUCGUACCACAAGACUUGGAUAACUGUGGUAAUUCUAGAGCUAAUACAUGCAAACAGAGUCCCGACCAGAAAUGGAAGGGAUGCUUUUAUUAGAUCAAAACCAAUCGGCCGGCUUGUCCGGUCCGUUUGCUUUGGUGACUCUGGAUAACUUUGAGCUGAUCGCACGGUCCUCGUACCGGCGACGCAUCUUUCAAAUGUCUGCCUUAUCAACUGUCGAUGGUAGGUUCUGCGCCUACCAUGGUUGUAACGGGUAACGGGGAAUCAGGGUUCGAUUCCGGAGAGGGAGCCUGAGAAACGGCUACCACAUCCAAGGAAGGCAGCAGGCGCGCAAAUUACCCACUCCCGGCACGGGGAGGUAGUGACGAAAAAUAACGAUACGGGACUCAUCCGAGGCCCCGUAAUCGGAAUGAGUACACUUUAAACCCUUUAACGAGUAUCCAUUGGAGGGCAAGUCUGGUGCCAGCAGCCGCGGUAAUUCCAGCUCCAAUAGCGUAUAUUAAAGUUGUUGCGGUUAAAAAGCUCGUAGUUGGAUUUGUGUCCCACGCUGUCGGUUCACCGUUCGUCGGUGUUUAACUGGCAUGCCCGUGCGGACGUCCUGCCGGUGGAUGCGGUCGGCCGUGGGCCUCUGGUCUGCGCGUCGGCGGUCCGAUGCAAUCCUACCGCGGUGCUCUUCACCGAGUGUCGAGGUGGGCCGGCACGUUUACUUUGAACAAAUUAGAGUGCUCAAAGCAGGCAGUGGUUCGCCUGAAUAUUGUGUGCAUGGAAUAAUGGAAUAGGACCUCGGUUCUAUUUUGUUGGUUUUCGGAACUUGAGGUAAUGAUUAAUAGGGACAGACGGGGGCAUUAGUAUUGCGACUUUAGAGGUGAAAUUCUUGGAUCGUCGCAAGACGAGCCUAAGCGAAAGCAUUUGCCAUGAACUCCCCUCCCCAGGGAGGAGAUACACUAACGGGAGGGGUAUGUUUUCAACUUUGUUCCGGUUUGGAAACCACAGUUUUCGGUCGAUUGCGAUGGGAUUUGAGGGAGGGGUAUCUCUUUGGACCAUCCCUAGGCCCCGCACUUUGUUAGGCCCUUUUGGAUAAAUGUCGGUACCCCGAGGGGGAUACCAUAAUGUGGACCACAAAUAUGGUACAAAGUCACAGGGUCUAUAUUUCGCGUGCCAUAANUACCCCGAGGGGGAUACCAUAAUGUGGACCACAAAUAUGGUACAAAGUCACAGGGUCUAUAUUUCGCGUGCCAUAAUUAUGGUAUCACGUACCAUAACUUCGGUAUUUCAUA